rnacentral:rRNA from 1 species
UACCAGCACCCCGAGUGGUCGGGACGUUUAUUGGGCCUAAAGCAUCCGUAGCCGGUUCUACAAGUCUUCCGUUAAAUCCACCUGCUUAACAGAUGGGCUGCGGAAGAUACUAUAGAGCUAGGAGGCGGGAGAGGCAAGCGGUACUCGAUGGGUAGGGGUAAAAAUCCGUUGAUCCAUUGAAGACCACCAGUGGCGAAGGCGGCUUGCCAGAACGCGCUCGACGGUGAGGGAUGAAAGCUGGGGGAGCGAACCGG